ensembl:misc_RNA Metazoa_SRP Metazoan signal recognition particle RNA
GCUGGGCAUGGUGGCGCAUGCCUGUAGUCCCAGCUACUUGGGAGGCUGAGGCAAGAGAAUCACUUGAACCCAGGAGGCAGAGGUUGCAGUAAGCCAAGAAUGCGCCACUGCACUCCAGCCUGGGUGACAGGGUAAGAUCCUGUCUCAA